rnacentral:tRNA from 2 species
CGGGCUGUGGCGCAGCUUGGUUAGCGCGCUUGUCUGGGGGACAAGAGGUCCCGAGUUCGAAUCUCGGCAGCCCGACCA